AUUGAACGCUGGCGGCAGGCCUAACACAUGCAAGUCGAGCGGCAGCGGGAAAGUAGCUUGCUACUUUUGCUGGCGAGCGGCGGACGGGUGAGUAAUGCCUGGGAAAUUGCCCAGUCGAGGGGGAUAACAGUUGGAAACGACUGCUAAUACCGCAUACGCCCUACGGGGGAAAGCAGGGGACCUUCGGGCCUUGCGCGAUUGGAUAUGCCCAGGUGGGAUUAGCUAGUUGGUGAGGUAAUGGCUCACCAAGGCGACGAUCCCUAGCUGGUCUGAGAGGAUGAUCAGCCACACUGGAACUGAGACACGGUCCAGACUCCUACGGGAGGCAGCAGUGGGGAAUACUGCACAAUGGGGGAAACCCUGAUGCAGCCAUGCCGCGUGUGUGAAGAAGGCCUUCGGGUUGUAAAGCACUUUCAGCGAGGAGGAAAGGUUGAUGCCUAAUACGUAUCAACUGUGACGUUACUCGCAGAAGAAGCACCGGCUAACUCCGUGCCAGCAGCCGCAGUAA
rnacentral:rRNA from 1 species